rnacentral:ncRNA from 1 species
CACAGGUCUGGUCCUAGCCUUCUUAUUAGUUAUCAGUAGGAUUACACAUGCAAGUAACCGCAUCCCAGUGAGAAUGCCCUCUAGAUCCCUACGAUCAAAAGGAGCGGGCAUCAAGCACGCCAAAUGGCUGCUCACCACGCCUUGCUAAACCACACCCCCACGGGAUACAGCAGUGACAAAACUUAAGCAAUUAACGAAAGUUAGACUGAGCCNNACUGAUACCCAGGGUUGGUAAAUUUCGUGCCAGCCACCGCGGUCAUACGAUUAACCCAAACUAAUUCAACACGGCGUAAAGUGUGUUUAAGAAUAUCAUCAAAUAAAGUUAAAUUUUAUCUAAGCCGUAAAAUGCUCCAGCUAAAAAUAAAAUAGACCACGAAAGUGACUUUAGCACCCUGAAAACACGACAGCCAAGACCCAAACUGGGAUUAGAUACCCCACUAUGCUUAGCCAUAAACUUAAGUAGUUGAUAAACAAUACUACUCGCCAGAGUACUACAAGCAAUAGCUCAAAACUCAAAGGACUUGGCGGUGCUUUAUAUCCCCCUAGAGGAGCCUGUUCUAUAAUCGAUAAACCCCGAUAGACCCUACCACUUCUUGCUAAUUCAAUCUAUAUACCGCCAUCCCCAGCAAACCCUAUCAAGGCCCCAAAGUAAGCGCAAGCAUAUCACAUAAAAACGUUAGGUCAAGGUGUAGUCUAUGAAGUGGGAAGAAAUGGGCUACAUUUUCUAAUAACAGAACAGAAUAUAUUACAACAACCUUUAUGAAACUAAAGGCCUAAGGAGGAUUUAGCAGUAAAUUAAGAAUAGAGAGCUUGAUUGAACAGGGCCAUGAAGCACGCACACACCGCCCGUCACCCUCCUCUAAAAUUCCACUACCAAUUCCUUAAUUAUUACCCAAAAUAUAAGAGGAGAUAAGUCGUAACAAGGUAAGCAUACUGGAAAGUGUGCUUGGAAUACU